rnacentral:rRNA from 1 species
UAGGCUUGACAUGCCGGUGUAACUCCUGGAGACAGGAGCCCCCGCAAGGGCGCUGGCAC